AUUGAACGCUGGCGGCAGGCCUAACACAUGCAAGUCGAACGGUAGCACAGAGGAGCUUGCUCCUCGGGUGACGAGUGGCGGACGGGUGAGUAAUGUCUGGGAAACUGCCCGAUGGAGGGGGAUAACUACUGGAAACGGUAGCUAAUACCGCAUAACGUCGCAAGACCAAAGAGGGGGACCUUCGGGCCUCUUGCCAUCGGAUGUGCCCAGAUGGGAUUAGCUAGUAGGUGGGGUAAUGGCUCACCUAGGCGACGAUCCCUAGCUGGUCUGAGAGGAUGACCAGCCACACUGGAACUGAGACACGGUCCAGACUCCUACGGGAGGCAGCAGUGGGGAAUAUUGCACAAUGGGCGCAAGCCUGAUGCAGCCAUGCCGCGUGUGUGAAGAAGGCCUUCGGGUUGUAAAGCACUUUCAGCGGGGAGGAAGGCAAUACGGUUAAUAACCGUGUUGAUUGACGUUACCCGCAGAAGAAGCACCGGCUAACUCCGUGCCAGCAGCCGCGGUAAUACGGAGGGUGCAAGCGUUAAUCGGAAUUACUGGGCGUAAAGCGCACGCAGGCGGUCUGUCAAGUCGGAUGUGAAAUCCCCGGGCUCAACCUGGGAACUGCAUUCGAAACUGGCAGGCUUGAGUCUUGUAGAGGGGGGUAGAAUUCCAGGUGUAGCGGUGAAAUGCGUAGAGAUCUGGAGGAAUACCGGUGGCGAAGGCGGCCCCCUGGACAAAGACUGACGCUCAGGUGCGAAAGCGUGGGGAGCAAACAGGAUUAGAUACCCUGGUAGUCCACGCCGUAAACGAUGUCGACUUGGAGGUUGUGCCCUUGAGGCGUGGCUUCCGGAGCUAACGCGUUAAGUCGACCGCCUGGGGAGUACGGCCGCAAGGUUAAAACUCAAAUGAAUUGACGGGGGCCCGCACAAGCGGUGGAGCAUGUGGUUUAAUUCGAUGCAACGCGAAGAACCUUACCUGGUCUUGACAUCCACGGAAUUCGGCAGAGAUGCCUUAGUGCCUUCGGGAACCGUGAGACAGGUGCUGCAUGGCUGUCGUCAGCUCGUGUUGUGAAAUGUUGGGUUAAGUCCCGCAACGAGCGCAACCCUUAUCCUUUGUUG
rnacentral:rRNA from 1 species